rnacentral:pre_miRNA from 1 species
AGAAUUUGUGGGAAUGGGCUGAUUGGGAAGUAAUGAGAUUGAGCAAUACAUUUAAUUUCUUCCCAAUUCCGCCCAUUCCUAUGAUUUCUG